ACAAGCGGUGGAGCAUGUGGUUUAAUUCGAUGGUACGCGAGGAACCUUACCAGGGCUUGACAUACGUUGGAAGCGCAUCGAAAGGUGCGUGCCGCUUGCGGCCGGCGUACAGGUGCUGCAUGGCUGUCGUCAGCUCGUGCUGUGAAGUGUUGGGUUAAGUCCCGCAACGAGCGCAACCCCUGCUGCCUGUUGCCACCACGAGAGGUGGGGACUCAGGCGGGACCGCCGGUGACAAACCGGAGGAAGGUGGGGACGGACGUCAAGUCAUCAUGGCCCUUAUGUCCUGGGCUACACACGUGCUACAAUGGCCGGUACAGAGCGCAGCGAGGCCGCGAGGCGGAGCGAAUCGCUUAAAGCCGGUCCCAGUACGGAUUGGAGUCUGCAACCCGACUCCAUGAAGUUGGAAUCGCUAGUAAUCGCGCAUCAGCAUGGCGCGGUGAAUACGUUCCCGGGCCUU
rnacentral:rRNA from 1 species